rnacentral:rRNA from 1 species
AUACGGAGGGUGCAAGCGUUAAUCGGAAUUACUGGGCGUAAAGCGCGCGUAGGCGUUUUGAUCAGUCGGAUGUGAAAGCCCUGGGCUCAACCUGGGAACUGCAUUCGAUACUGUCAGACUAGAAUAUGGUAGAGGGUAGUGGAAUUCCUGGUGUAGCGGUGAAAUGCGUAGAUAUCAGGAGGAACAUCAGUGGCGAAGGCGGCUACCUGGACCAAUAUUGACGCUGAGGUGCGAAAGCGUGGGGAGCAAACAGGAUUAGAUACCCUAGUAGUCC